rnacentral:rRNA from 1 species
GGCGGAUAGGUGCCGUAAAAGUAUUGAUCCUGGACGUCAGUAGCAUCAGUAGAGCUUGCUCCUCGAGAGACGAGCGGCGGACGGGUGAGUAAUGUCUGGGAAACUGCCUGAUGGAGGGGGAUAACUACUGGAAACGGUAGCUAAUACCGCAUAACGUCGCAAGACCAAAGUGGGGGACCUUCGGGCCUCAUGCCAUCAGAUGUGCCCAGAUGGGAUUAGCUAGUAGGUGGGGUAACGGCUCACCUAGGCGACGAUCCCUAGCUGGUCUGAGAGGAUGACCAGCCACACUGGAACUGAGACACGGUCCAGACUCCUACGGGAGGCAGCAGUGGGGAAUAUUGCACAAUGGGCGCAAGCCUGAUGCACCCAUGCCGCGUGUGUGAAGAAGGCCUUCGGGUUGUAAAGCACUUUCAGCGGGGAGGAAGCCGUUAAGGUUAAUAACCUUGUCGAUUGACGUUACCCGCAGAAGAAGCACCGGCUAACUCCGUGCCAGCAGCCGCGGUAAUACGGAGGGUGCAAGCGUUAAUCGGAAUUACUGGGCGUAAAGCGCACGCAGGCGGUCUGUCAAGUCGGAUGUGAAAUCCCCGGGCUCAACCUGGGGAACUGGCAUUCGAAACUGGGCAGGCUAGAGUCUUGUAGACGGGGGUAGCAAUUCCAGGUGGAGCGCGUGCAAAUGCGUAGACAUCUGGUAGCAAUACCGGACGGCCAAGGCGGUCCCCCCUGGACAAAGCUCCCACGCUCUAGGCGCGCAUAAAGCGUGAGAACCAUUGACAGAAGGAGAUACCCCUUGCGGCAGCCCGCGCCGCAACCGAUGUCCUCAUUUGGAGGUUCAGCCGCCCCUUGCGGCGUGGCUUCUUCCCCGGACCUUAAAAACGCGUUUAAUCGCCCGGCCCUGUU